UAAGACGACAAGGUUUUGUGUCCAGGGAUACCCAGUUAUCCUACAAGGCUGAUUUCCGAAAAGGAGGGGACAGAUGCAUAACUUCUUCCCCAGUGGUGACCUCGGUCUGGGAUCUCAGACCAGAUGAUCUUGAGGGUCCCUUCUUAGUAAGAUUCUAGGUUGUAUUUAUCUUGGUUUAAAACAUUAGGAGUUUUGAGAGUGUCUUGGCCAGUUUCCUUUCUGGAAUUGUGGUGUGAUAUAAUCAAGACACUUGCCUGCCUCUUUAAGUCUAUUGGUUGGUUGGUUCAGGUGUGGGUAAAGUGGCCAGUUUGAGGAACAACAAUGUUGUUUACAUUCUUUCUUUCUGAAAAGUCAGGAGCCACCGGCAAGAAAUGAAAGUGAAAUCAGGGGAUAGUGUCAUCAGUCAGCACAAAUGUGACAAAGUUCAGAGAGCUGUUUACUUAGGCACAACUGCGCCUGCCAGCCAGUCAUAAGCUCGGGGCUUAUGCUCGGGGCUGCAUCGUUCCAGUCUCCACCGGCCUCGUUUCUAGAACCUGACAUUAGGACGCAGCGAGAGAGAAGAAUCAAGCGAACAUGAUUUCCUGCUCCUCCUCUUUAUGAGUGUUUUGUGGGUUCUGCAUCUUCUUUUUGAGUGCAAGCUCAAGGAAGGCAAGCCCCUGCUUUGCCCCGCAUGUUACUGAUUCCCCAGGGCCUGUGACUCAGGGAAUCGUCCAACAUGUAUGAUCGCUGGAGUCACAAGAGGAAACCCUGGCCUCAUCAGUAGAAGGGGGGGCAGUGGCUCUCCAGGAGCCACACCCAAACCACAAGCACAGUGAUGGCUCAAUGAGUUCAGCUAGACAGAUUUUCGCCAGGGCUGGAGGCCCCCUCUGACAACCUGGCUCUCUCCUCUGUCAGAUUCUGUUUUUCUGACUUUCUUCUGCUCGUAUUUUCUUCCCUGGGCUUCGCUCCCCCCCAUUCACAUCGCAGCCACGCCCUCCGCCCCUGUCCUGCUCUUCCCUCGUGUCCCCUUUCUCCCCUGGACCACAGCCUCCACCACGGCACCAGAGCAGGCAGCAGUCCACCUGUGCAGAUCAAAUUAACUCACUUCAGUCUCACAACAGCCCCCAGGGACAGGCCCGAAGGCGCGUUAAGGGCGGGGAUGUAGACUCCGGCAAGCUCACUGACAUGCCCAAGGUCACGCGCUAUGAGCGACAGGACAGCAGCCUGAACCCCGGUGGUCUGGCGCUAAGGUCCACGCUCUUCACCACCACAUCCCUCACACCAUCCCGGAGUCGUCCGCGCCAGCCACCAGUGAGGACAGCUUCCUGGAGUCCAGGUUCUCCAGGGAAGCUCUGUUCUGAACUCCAGUACUAGUGUCUCCUCAAGAAUGUCACUUCUCUGAGCCUCAGUUUCCUCUCUAUGAUAAUAAUUUAAGUAACACUAGGUAACGUUCCACAUGCUGCACAUAAAUCACCUCACUUAAUUUCCAUAACAUUUACAAAACAUGCUCUAUUGUUAUACCCAUUUUGCAGAUGAGAAAACUAGGCAGAGAGACAUUCAGGUAGCUAGUAAAUGGUAGAGCAGGGAUUUGAACUCAGGACACACAGCUUCAAAGUCUAAGCUCAAUGUCACCCCCAUACAAGAGGAGAAUAAUGUGAUGUCCACACACUGUGGCCGUGAAGAUUAAAGGGGAUGAUGCACGUGAGGGCCAGACCUCGGGAGACAAGACUCAGGUUCUUACAGUGAUUUCACAAUUCUGCCCAACAGGCCUCACCAGGCUCACUUGGGGAAGUCACUGAGCCUCACUAAGCCUCAGUUUUCUCCUCUGGAAAGUGAAGAUAAUAACAUUAAAUGUGCUCUCAUAGUGAAAACUUAAGAAUACCUGCUAAGUGCUUAGUACAGGGCCUGGCGCAGAGUAAAUGCUCAAAAAGAUUUUGAGGUCAGUAUUUGAUCUUUAAUAAGCCCUCAAUCAAACUAGAUUCUUUCUUAGACACCUCCAGUGAUCAUAAAGACUUCUCAAAGCAAGUUCUGCCCUCCAAGCUCCCCUAUAGCUUUCUUAAGUCAUUAAUGAGAAGGAAGCCCGGGAGAUGAAUUUGUAGCCAACAAACUAGAAACCCAUCCGUUUUUCUUUCAAGCUUCUGUUCCACAAAACUUGCACACUGUGUAGUGUCUGUCAGCAGCAAAAUUAUAACAUCCAAGUUUUGCCAGGUCAUGGCAGCAACUGCUCCUGCUGGUGCAGGGGCGGGGCGGGGCCUCACCACACCUGAGUCCCUCCUUGCAAGGGGCCUCACAGUGUCCAACGCCUGAAGCUAGCUACAGGCUCACAUACAUGUCUGAGAAAGAGGGGACAAGCUUGAGGAAACUUACAUUUAGGAAAUGGGAAGCAUAAAAAACAGAGAAGGAGGAGAACUAGGACAGAGAUUCAGGUCAAAAAAAUAGAAGCAGGUCUUCCCUGGUGGCGCAGUGGUUGAGAGUCCGCCUGCCAAGGCACGGGACGCGGGUUCGUGCCCCGGUCCGGGAAGAUCCCACAUGCCGCGGAGCGGCUGGGCCCGUGAGCCAUGGCCACUGAGCCUGCGCGUCCAGAGCCUGUGCUCCGCAACGGGAGAGGCCACAACAGUGAGAGGCCUGCGUACCGCCAAAAAAAAAAAAAUAGAAGGAAGCAUUUACGAAGCUCUAUGUGCCAUGGCUGACGUUCACGAAACCAUUCAGAGGUCACUCAGUGGAUACUUACUAUGUGCCCAUAAUGUGCCAGGUAGUCCUGGGUGUUGCGGAUGUAACAGUUAAAGGCAGAUUUUGAGAGAGACGGGCAGCCAUAGAUUUUUGUCUGAUUUGCCUAACAGAUAAAAUUCCUUGCCCACAUGAAGUUUACAUUCUACUGAGGGUUGUAGAUGGAAGACAAAAGAAAACAUUUAGCACGUUAGAUGGUGGAAAACGGCAAGGAGGAAGAGCAGGGAAGCAGCACGGGGAGAGCCGUGCCGGUGCCGCGGAAGGGCUGCUGCGGCUUCAAAAUGCCGACCAGGGAUGGCGCCACUGAGAAAGGGACCUUUGAGCAGAGACCCAGGGGAGGCAGACACGUGAU